UACUCCUACGGGAGGCAGCAGUGGGGAAUUUUGGACAAUGGGGGCAACCCUGAUCCAGCCAUUCCGCGUGAGUGAAGAAGGCCUUCGGGUUGUAAAGCUCUUUCGCAAGGGAAGAAACGUUACGAGCGAAUAACUCGUGAUAAUGACGGUACG
rnacentral:rRNA from 1 species